UCCCUAGUAGCUCAGAUGGUAAAGCAUCUGCCUGUAGUGCAGGAGACCUGGGUUCAAUCCCUGGGUUGGGAA
rnacentral:tRNA from 1 species